AAACCGUUCAGGGGUAAACCUGAGAAACCCAAAAGAUCGAAUGGGGAGACUCAGCGUCAGCCGCUUGUUGGCUUGCGUGCGGCUCGCGAUGCCCUCGGGGGCCCUUUACCGGGUCUUUACCGAGGGCACGCGGUCGCUGCGUCAUGUCCGGCGCGGUCGGCGUGCACUUCUCCCCUAGUAGGACGUCGCGACCCGUUGGGUGUCGACCUACGGCCCGCGAGGUAGACUGGGGCGCCGCGCGUUAAUAGCGCGCGCGCGUCUCAGACCCGCGUGCGCCCGGCUCGACUGCCCGGCGGUAAAGAUCGCUUAUAAUCGAUAAUGGUAUGGGGUCGCACG
rnacentral:rRNA from 1 species